rnacentral:sRNA from 1 species
GGCCGCCGGCUUCCCGGGUGGGGGGUGUGCGGGGACAGCGGGGGUCCAUGCGCCGGCCGCGCGCGCGGAGUGCCGGGUGCCCGGCUGGAAGGUCCCGAGAAGGGGCGUGGCCGGGGCCUCCCAGCGGCUUCCCGGAGCUCCUGGAGCCCUAAUCCCAUUCCCGGAGUCCGCCUCGUAUCCAGCAGCGAAGACAUGUUCCGGUCCGGUGGGGGGGUAUCUCUGGCGGGUGACUCGACCUCCUUGAGGCCCGCCGCCCGCGGGCCCACGAGUGCCUGGGUGAGGCUCUGCGUGUCAUGCAUCAGAUCAUCUCCAAGUACCCGCUGCUGAACACCGUGGAGACGCUCACCGCAGCCGGCACCCUCAUUGCCAAGGUCAAAGCCUUCCAUUAUGAGAGCAACAAUGAUCUGGAGAAACAGGAGUUU